AAUUCGUUGUGAUAAUUGCAAGAAUAAGCCCAGAUGGAAUUCCCAAAAUCAUCUGGGAAAACUUGAAGGGAAGCUAGAGUUCCCUCAAGAGUUGUGGGGAUGUAUCUUUCAUAGCUGAUGUUUUGUCCUAUUCUCAUUUCAAAGGCUGGCUUGCCUUUGAGAAACAGGUUACAGAUAGUUUUCUGCACAGAGAGAACCCAUAUCAGAACACAAUGUUUUGAUGAAGACUUCUGUUUCAUGUCUCCUGAAAUGUACUGAUGCUUUUUGAUAGUAAGUGAGAGCAAACCAAGAAAAAAUGCACAUUGUGCAUUAAGUCAUCUCGUAAGUCUUUCAAGAACACUAUUUGAGAAAUGUUGAUUUCCACAUUGCUAUACCCUUUGGCACACUGCGAUGUAUUAACUGUUUCAGAAGCAGAUUGUGAAACUCAUUCUAGAGAAAGAGUGAAGAAAUACAUAAGUUGUCUCUAAAGGCUUGUCCUUACACUGUAGUGAAGCUUUGGAAAUGAAGCUGACAGUAUGAAGAGGACACAUAUCGAGAUCUUUUCCAGACUUUCAUUGUAUCAAGAAUAGAGGGACUUCCCUGGUGGCGCAGUGGUUAAGAAUCUGCCUGCCAAUGCAGGGGACAUGGGUUCG